GCAAUACACGCCGUUCUUCGUUCUGCCUUUCUCCACUGUGGUCGGUUUUUUCACCGAGGUGAUUUUCGAUUUUGGUUUCGUAGUAGGUCGUAGUUUGCCCGGGCUGAUUCUGUUAUGGGCGAACGAUUCCGGUGUUGCAGCUGGUUGACGGUUGGCUGUCGAUUAUCCCGGUUCUGCUACACGACGAUUUAAGUGUCGUUUUUAGCUUUACAAAAACUACCGCAACCUGCCAUACACUCCAACGAGAAUGACUCUGAGAACAUGUCCUCAUUGCACGGUGAAGGUUACAUGUCUAACAUGCAAGGUGAAGGGACUUCAACCUCACAUCAAAGUAGGGGUAAAAAGAAAGGCAACAAGCGUUCUCGAAACGAUGAUCUCGAUGGCCGUAUCGUGGAUAUGAUGGCGGAUAUGACUAGGACUUUUGCGGAGACUAAAACAUGCCUAGGCGAGUUGGCCCACCGUAUCGGUUUUGAGCACGAUGCGUCAACUACACAUGUAAGAAGGUGUUGGAUGCCCUAUCGCCGUUAUGUUUAGGUGUCGAGGAUAAGAUUACUGUCGCUAAAGCCGUUUGCAAUAGCCCAACCGAUCUCGACAUCUUUUUUGGAUUAAAUGAAACCGAAAAGGGGGUUAUGGUUCGAAUGAUCCUCGAAGGGCGCUACUUCGGUUAGCUAGAAUAUCAUCCACUCACAAGGUGAAGAAACUUUUUCCCGUAUUCGGACCCUAUCUUGCGGCAAUAUUUGCAUUGAAGACAUUUCUGUUAGUUUUUCCGUAUGAACUUAUAAAUUUUGUGUAUUAUGGCCGAUUAUAUGUCUGUAAAUAUUCUGUUUGUUUGGAGCUACUAUGCCUAAAUGGUAAGCUGAAAAAAUAUUUUGUUAUUUAGGAGCUAAUGGUCAAUUUUAAACAGGUUCACGGGUUGUGUAAUAAAUAUUCCAAGGUUUUUGUCAAUAUGCAUGUGUUAUAUUCACACUGCAACAGGUUGUAGUUGCAGGCCUUCGUGCAGAUUUUUG